GAAAUCCCUAACCUAACCCAUAAACGUAAGGAAAAAAAAUCAUCUUUCGGCAUUUUCACAGGUUCCUCUUCUCACCUCUUUCUACUGAAUCUACUCACAGCUUGGAAGCUUCAACUUUUACUCAAAGAAGCAAGCGAAGCAGCUGGUUUGUUUAGGAGUGGAUGCUCUGCUACUUUAUGCCACCAUUGCUGCCCCUGUCCUUUCCUAUCUUAAAUCCCUCUCCAUUUUCAAUUUGCUAAAUCAAACAUAGUUGUUGGUAUUGAAUGGGGUUGAUCUUUGAUUUGUGGUAGUUCAUUGUAGAAUAGCUAAUACAUACAUUUGUUUUGAUUUUUUUUUUUGCUAUUCAGAUUUAAAUCUGAUCUGUUGUCAGUAUAGAGAGUUUUACUCUGUUAGUGAACCAGUGCCAACUAUUUAAGAUGACUUUUUAAAACUUCAUUGCAAGUGAAAUAUUUUAAUCAUUCCAGUAUUCCUAUGAUGUGGCACUUCAAUGCUUUAUGAUAAUGCUUAGCUUUAGACGGAUAAUUGAUAGGAUUUGAACUAUUGCAAUUUUUUCUUGAUAUCCAAUUCGGUUUAAUUAGAUGUGAGCACUGUCAAACUCUUACAAUUUCAUCUCACGUAGAAAUUGUUUUUGAUGCUGCUUUGUACUCCAACAAUUAGAAUGGUUUGGGCAUUUAAUGGAUGAGUUGUUGAUAUAAGUCGUAUUUGCUGAUAAAUUUAUCUAUGGUCUUGUUUCUUUCAUCCAUGUUAGUUAAAUUGUUCUUUUGUUUUCUCUUGUUGCCAAAAUAAGGUGUGGGCUAUUGCAGAUUCAAAGCGACAAGGUUUUCUUGGUUUCACCGAGUUUAUAAUUGCUAUGCAGACCAAAAUGCAAGCAGUGUUGGUCAAGAUUUAAAUGAGUUUGGUGGAGAAAAAGAGCCUCUGAUUGACACAACUUUGGCACCAUCAGGAUAGUGAUAGCAUGCAAUUUCAUUUAUUUGUUCUUAUUUUGUGCAAUUUACUGAUUUAAGUAUGAACUUGUAAUAGUGUGAUGGGGUAAUU